rnacentral:lncRNA from 1 species
UUCCUGCAGAAAAUUUGUAUGGGUAUAUUGGCUGCAGUGCUGGAUAUAUUUCAAGCAAAACAUAUUGGAAAUAAUUAUCGAAAUAUGUUUGUUUAAAUGAAAUAAUAUUUACUUCAUCUAUAUAUAUGAAAAAUGUUUAUAUAAAAUAUGGUAAUAUUGUUCGUCAAAUUUGCAGUAGAAAAUGUGCAUGAAACAAUAAUGAUAAAAAAAUACCUUGACGUUUAUCGGCGGCGCAGGUGGAGGAGGAUCCACUUUAACGUUGAUAAAUUUUAGAACGUCAUUAUAGUCCAGUUGUUCCUUUUCGUUCUUGUGAAUGCUAUAUUAUUAUUGCAAGAUCUCCACUUAUACACGUACUGAUCAAGCAUGGAAUUUAAAAGUUCCACGUCGACUGGAAUUCUGGCAGCACGGAGAGUAGUAUACAACGUAUCGCGUGGUGGCUGCGGUAUCACCCUGAAACAGUUGCCGAGGGAAUCUUCGUAGGACCCAAAACCAUUGUAGGGUGGAAUGUAUCUUUCCACUUUCACGCAAAUCUCGCCAACAUUUCGAGGUCUUUCCAUGGGCGUGAAGUCAUCCAGACCGUAUUUCUUCCUUUGAUGCGAUACAAGAAACAUCUUUUUACGUGACACAUUCUUUUCUACGCCUUUUACUAUCGAAGAGGAUGCACCGUUGAACCUUGCUCAAGACCACUAUUAUCCACGGAAGGCUCAGAAAUUUUCAUCGUUCCAUCCUCCAAAAAGAAGCUGAUAUUUACCACGCGUAUUUGUUUUCUAGAUAAAUGAUCAUACUUGGCCAUCAUAAGCAAUCCAAGGAGGCAGUUCUUGAACUUCCCCGCGAGCAUAAAUUGACGGAUAACGAAUUGGAUCGCUUUUAUC